AGAUUAAGUUAUUAAGGGCGCACGGUGGAUGCCUUGGCACUAGAAGCCGAUGAAGGACGUUACUAACGACGAUAUGCUUUGGGGAGCUGUAAGUAAGCUUUGAUCCAGAGAUUUCCGAAUGGGGAAACCCAGCAUGAGUUAUGUCAUGUUAUCGAUAUGUGAAUACAUAGCAUAUCAGAAGGCACACCCGGAGAACUGAAACAUCUUAGUACCCGGAGGAAGAGAAAGAAAAUUCGAUUCCCUUAGUAGCGGCGAGCGAAACGGGAAGAGCCCAAACCAACAAGCUUGCUUGUUGGGGUUGUAGGACACUCUAUACGGAGUUACAAAGGACGACAUUAGACGAAUCAUCUGGAAAGAUGAAUCAAAGAAGGUAAUAAUCCUGUAGUCGAAAAUGUUGUCUCUCUUGAGUGGAUCCUGAGUACGACGGAGCACGUGAAAUUCCGUCGGAAUCUGGGAGGACCAUCUCCUAAGGCUAAAUACUCUCUAGUGACCGAUAGUGAACCAGUACCGUGAGGGAAAGGUGAAAAGCACCCCGGAAGGGGAGUGAAAUAGAACCUGAAACCGUGUGCUUACAAGUAGUCAGAGCCCGUUAAUGGGUGAUGGCGUGCCUUUUGUAGAAUGAACCGGCGAGUUACGAUUUGAUGCAAGGUUAAGCAGUAAAUGUGGAGCCGUAGCGAAAGCGAGUCUGAAUAGGGCGUUUAGUAUUUGGUCGUAGACCCGAAACCAGGUGAUCUACCCUUGGUCAGGUUGAAGUUCAGGUAACACUGAAUGGAGGACCGAACCGACUUACGUUGAAAAGUGAGCGGAUGAACUGAGGGUAGCGGAGAAAUUCCAAUCGAACCUGGAGAUAGCUGGUUCUCUCCGAAAUAGCUUUAGGGCUAGCCUCAAGUGAUGAUUAUUGGAGGUAGAGCACUGUUUGGACGAGGGGCCCCUCUCGGGUUACCGAAUUCAGACAAACUCCGAAUGCCAAUUAAUUUAACUUGGGAGUCAGAACAUGGGUGAUAAGGUCCGUGUUCGAAAGGGAAACAGCCCAGACCACCAGCUAAGGUCCCAAAAUAUAUGUUAAGUGGAAAAGGAUGUGGCGUUGCCCAGACAACUAGGAUGUUGGCUUAGAAGCAGCCAUCAUUUAAAGAGUGCGUAAUAGCUCACUAGUCGAGUGACACUGCGCCGAAAAUGUACCGGGGCUAAACAUAUUACCGAAGCUGUGGAUUGUCCUUUGGACAAUGGUAGGAGAGCGUUCUAAGGGCGUUGAAGCAUGAUCGUAAGGACAUGUGGAGCGCUUAGAAGUGAGAAUGCCGGUGUGAGUAGCGAAAGACGGGUGAGAAUCCCGUCCACCGAUUGACUAAGGUUUCCAGAGGAAGGCUCGUCCGCUCUGGGUUAGUCGGGUCCUAAGCUGAGGCCGACAGGCGUAGGCGAUGGAUAACAGGUUGAUAUUCCUGUACCACCUAUAAUCGUUUUAAUCGAUGGGGGGACGCAGUAGGAUAGGCGAAGCGUGCGAUUGGAUUGCACGUCUAAGCAGUAAGGCUGAGUAUUAGGCAAAUCCGGUACUC
rnacentral:rRNA from 1 species